CCACACCUAAAAAACUUUCCACGUGAACUGUCUGUAUUUGUUUUGUGUGUGCGCGUUGCUGGCGUGCGUCUGCUUUGCAUGAAUGUGCGUUGCGGGUGCGUGCUGGCGGUGCGCGGACUAAACGAAGGUUGGUUGUCUGUGCGUCUGCGGAUCUGCUGUGCUGAGCUUCAUUGUUUGGCGUGGCGGGUGUUGCGGGUGCUAUUUUGACCGGCUGACUUAUUUUUUCAAACCCCAUACCUAAAUGACUGAUUAUACUGUGAGAACGAAAGUUCUUGCUUUUAACUAGAUAA
rnacentral:misc_RNA from 1 species